GCCAGACUCCUACGGGAGGCAGCAGUGGGGGAUAUUGCACAAUGGGGGGAACCCUGAUGCAGCGACGCCGCGUGAAGGAAGAAGUAUCUCGGUAUGUAAACUUCUAUCAGCAGGGAAGAAAAUGACGGUACCUGACUAAGAAGCCCCGGCUAACUACGUGCCAGCAGCCGCGGUAAUACGUAGGGGGCAAGCGUUAUCCGGAUUUACUGGGUGUAAAGGGAGCGUAGGCGGCAGUGCAAGUCAGCGGUAAAAUCGCGGGGCUCAACCUCGCUACGCCGUUGAAACUGGCGUUCUUGAGUGGGCGAGAAGUAUGCGGAAUGCGUGGUGUAGCGGUGAAGUGCAUAGAUAUCACGCAGAACUCCGAUUGCGAAGGCAGCAUACCGGCGCCCAACUGACGCUGAAGCACGAAGGCGUGGGUAUCGAACAGGAUUAGAUACCCCAGUAGG
rnacentral:rRNA from 1 species